rnacentral:rRNA from 1 species
GAUGAACGCUAGCGGCAGGCUUAAUACAUGCAAGUCGUGGGGCAGCAGGUCUGUAGCAAUACAGAUGCUGGCGACCGGCAAACGGGUGCGUAACACGUACGCAACCUUCCCGUUACUGGGGAAUAGCCCAGGGAAACUUGGAUUAAUACCCCAUAUUAUAUUGGUUAGGCAUCUGACUGAUAUCAAAACUUCGGCGGUAACGGAUGGGCGUGCGGUUGAUUAGGUAGUUGGCGGGGUAACGGCCCACCAAGUCUACGAGCAAUAGCUGAUGUGAGAGCAUGAUCAGCCACACGGGCACUGAGACACGGGCCCGACUCCUACGGGAGGCAGCAGUAAGGAAUAUUGGGCAAUGGACGAAAGUCUGACCCAGCCAUGCCGCGUGAAGGAUGAAGGUCCUCUGGAUUGUAAACUUCUUUUAUCUGGGGCGAAAAUCGGUUAUUCUUAGCCGCUUGACAGUACCAGAUGAAUAAGCACCGGCUAACUCCGUGCCAGCCGCCGCAGUAACAC